UACGUAGGAGGCAAGCGUUGUCCGGAAUCACUGGGCGUAAAGCGCGUGUAGGUGGAAGAGGAAGUCUGCUGUGAAAGCGCCUGGCUUAACCGGGCGAGGUCGGUGGAAACUCCUCAUCUAGAGGUCGGUAGAGGGGGGUGGAAUUCCGGGUGAGUGGUGAAAUGCGUAGAGAUCCGGAAGAACACCGGUGGCGAAGGCGGCCUGCUGGGCAGUGGCUGACGCUGAGGCGCGACAGCGUGGGGGAGCAAACAGG
rnacentral:rRNA from 1 species